ensembl:antisense Gm11655 predicted gene 11655
GCACUGAGAACAUUCAGGACAAACUUCUGUUGCUGUGAAGCUGGCACAGAAGAUAAUCCACCCACUGAAGAGCAGAAUUAGCACCGGGGCUUUGGUGUUGGGUUUGUUUCCCUGAAAUAACUUCUUUCUCAGGCUUCCCAUGGCAUCACGGUGAAUCUCUGAAAUGUGAAAUUUUAGGCAACAUCAGCGGUCUUUUUUUUUUUUUUUCUUUUCUUACAAUGGUUUCUAAGACAUAGGGCUGAACUCAUGGUCACAGUAAGGCAAUGACAACUCGGACUCCUACCCACGGCCAGCGGCUAGCUGCUGUAGGGUUCUGCUUCUGCUCGGCUAUCAUUUGCACCCUGGCUUCCAUGGCUGCUUCCCAGUGUUGACAGGGAUAGAGAGGAGAGUAAAGAGACAAGGGAGGACCGAACAGGAAGAAGAUGGGAGUCUGAGCAUGGAAGGGAAGGGACUGAAACGUGCUGCUCUGAGAGGACUUCAAAACAUGGACAACAGGAUGUCAGCUUUUUAGGAAAGUUGAGAGGAUCUCACAACCUCCCGCCUUUGUAUUAGUCGCUGAAGGAGAUGAGGAGGAGGAGGAGGAGUCACUUCAGCCAGUGACAGAAGACCGAAGGUUUGCCGAAAUCCCCAGAGAAUUCACAGACUGAGCCAAGUGCUAAGGAUCCUUAGAGAGUCAGGAGUGGCUGGGAAGAAAUUCGGAAUCUUUUCCUGUCCCUUGGAAGCCAUCAAAAGAGCUCGAAUAAAGAGGAAUGUGUAUGAAAGU